rnacentral:rRNA from 1 species
UACGGAGGGUGCAAGCGUUGUUCGGAAUCACUGGGCGUAAAGGGCGUGUAGGCGGUCCGCUAAGUCUGAUGUGAAAGCCCGGGGCUCACCCCCGGAAGGGCAUUGGAAACUGGCGGACUCGAGUCUCGGAGAGGAAGGUGGAAUUCCCGGUGUAGCGGUGAAAUGCGUAGAGAUCGGGAGGAAGGCCGGUGGCGAAGGCGGCGCUCUGGAACGUACCUGACGCUGAGGAGCGAAAGCGUGGGGAGCGAAACAGGAUUGAGAA